GAGAGGAUGAUCCGCCACAAUGGGAAUGAGACACGGCCCAGAAUUCUACGGGAGGCAGCAAUGGGGAAUUUUGGACAAAGGGGGGAACCCUGAUCCCGGCCUGGCGGGUGGGUGAAGAAGGCCUUUUGGGUGUAAAGCAAUUUUAGGGAGGAGGGAAGGACGUAAAUUAAUACCCAGAGAUAAUGGACGUUACUCGCAGAAUAAGCACCGGCUAACUCUGUGCCAGCAGCCGCGGUAAUACGGAGGGUGCGAGCGUUAAUCGGAAUUACUGGGCGUAAAGCGCGCGCAGGCGGUUUGUUAAGUCGGAUGUGAAAUCCCCGGGCUCAACUUGGGAACUGCAUUUGAUACUGGCAAGCUAGAGUAUGGUAGAGGGGGGUAGAAUUCCAGGUGUAGCGGUGAAAUGCGUAGAGAUCUGGAGGAAUACCGGUGGCGAAGGCAGCCCUCUGGCCGAAGACUGACGCUCAGGUACGAAAGCAUGGGGAGCAAACAGGA
rnacentral:rRNA from 1 species